GACGAACGCUGGCGGCGUGCUUAACACAUGCAAGUCGAACGGAAAGGCCUCAGCUUGCUGGGGUACUCGAGUGGCGAACGGGUGAGUAACACGUGGGUGAUCUGCCUUGCACUCUGGGAUAAGCUUGGGAAACUGGGUCUAAUACCGGAUAUGAACUGCCUUUAGUGUGGUGGUUGGAAAGUUUUUUCGGUGCAAGAUGAGCUCGCGGCCUAUCAACUUGUUGGUGGGGUAAUGGCCUACCAAGGCGUCGACGGGUAGCCGGCCUGAGAGGGUGUACGGCCACAUUGGGACUGAGAUACGGCCCAGACUCCUACGGGAGGCAGCAGUGGGGAAUAUUGCACAAUGGGCGGAAGCCUGAUGCAGCGACGCCGCGUGGGGGAUGACGGCCUUCGGGUUGUAAACUCCUUUCGACAGGGACGAAGCUUUUUGUGACGGUACCUGUAUAAGAAGCACCGGCUAACUACGUG
rnacentral:rRNA from 1 species